ACAGGAAGCACAGGCAUGAGUUGUAAAAGAGUGAUGAAUAAGGACACAUUUCAUUAUCAUCAGCUGCAGACAAACUGGCAGACGUGAGCUUGAGGAGUGGACAGAGCGACCUGUUCAGCAAAGCGCUCCGAAACAACCUAAUUUGGCACCUACACGACAACCAGAGACGUUUGGGACUGAAAUGUUACAGCAAAAGAAAAGGGUUUUCCCUCUGAAAGCAGACUACUCGCCUCCUGUGAACAGAGAUUUACAUCCCUGAAAAGAAAGGGACAACACAACUGCCUCCACACAGACAGACAAGAAAGAAAAUUCCUCUUUCCACUUGCUGAUCAGGCUGCCAAACACUUCUUCAGAGGACUGUAGUUUGUGAAACAAAACUACUUGCGGU